rnacentral:snRNA from 1 species
AUGCUCAUUUAGGCAGAACAUAUACUAAAAUUGGAAUGAUACAGAGAAGAUUAGCAGAGCCCCUGUACAAGGAGGACCACAAGUUUGUGAAAUGUUCUAUAUUUUA